UUACCUGGUCUUGACAUCCCGGAGACCCUUAGGAAACUAGGGGGUGCUUCCAUCUGGAAGAAUCUGGAGACAGGUGCUGCAUGGCUGUCGUCUAGCUCGUGUCGUGAGACUGUUGGGUUAAGUCCCGCAACGAGCGCAACCCUUGCCUUUAGUUGCCAGCAGUUCGGCUGGGCACUCUAAAGGGACUGGCCGGUGUUAAACCGGAGGAAGGUGGGGAUGACGUCAAGUCCUCAUGGCCUUUAUGACCAGGGCUACACACGUACUACAAUGGCCGAUACAAAGGGCAGCGACACUGCGAGGUGAAGCCAAUCCCGUAAAAUCGGUCUCAGUCCGGAUUGGAGUCUGCAACUCGACUCCAUGAAGUUGGAAUCGCUAGUAAUCGUGGAUCAGCAUGCCACGGUGAAUACGUUCCCGGGCCUU
rnacentral:rRNA from 1 species